GCGGGCGUAGUUUAGCGGUAGAACGAUUGGUUGCCAAUCAAUCAGUAGGAGUUCGACUCUCCUCGCCCGCAC
rnacentral:tRNA from 1 species